GCGGUUUGGGAUCAUUAUGCCAGCAUCCUUGAUAAAAUCGCAGUCCUCAGUCUAGGCAGGCAGCAUCAACGCAGGCUAUAACACUUCACCGAAGUAAAGUCACAUUCCUACGCCAUUAUCCUACCGCCCAAACCGAUGCUGGCCCGAUAAGCUGCGGGUCACCCCGCCACGAAGGCAAGGCUCACAAAAUAUCGAGUCUGAUCUCAAACCCUUCCCUUUCAACAAUUUCACGUACUUUUUCACUCUCUUUUCAAAGUUCUUUUCAUCUUUCCAUCACUGUACUUGUUCGCUAUCGGUCUCUCGCCAAUAUUUAGCUUUAGAUGGAAUUUACCACCCACUUAGAGCUGCAUUCCCAAACAACUCGACUCUUCGAAAGCACCUUACAUAGAAUUGGGCAUCUCAUCGCACGGGAUUCUCACCCUCUGUGACGUCCUGUUCCAAGAAACAUAGACAAGAGCCAACCCCAAGGUUACAAUCUUCAAAUUACAACUCGGACACCGAAGGCGCCAGAUUUCAAAUUUGAGCUUUUGCCGCUUCACUCGCCGCUACUAAGGCAAUCCCUGUUGGUUU
rnacentral:rRNA from 1 species